rnacentral:lncRNA from 1 species
AGUCAGUCCACUGACAGGCAGUUGUGGCCUUGCAGACGCAUCAUAUCAGUACUGGAGCUGCUUGACAGAUGAGUCCUGUGGUGGUGGCGGCUGACUGUUGGCAAAUGGGUGACAGAUGGACUUGUCAGUGUCAAGGUGUCACCUGCGUCUUGUGAGGGAUAUAUGUGGCUGCCAGGCUAGGAAAACAAGCAGGUAUCCCCACAUCCUACAGACAACAACACGCAGAGGUGUCUAUCCCUGACAAAUCAAGAGGAGGAGGUAGAGGUGGAGGAUCAUUUUAUACAGAGGAAAUCAUUUUCCAUUGUGCUAGCAGCUAGUUUAUAAUCCAGUAGAAAGAUAGAUUAUGAAUCCAGCAGAGGCCAGCUAUCAGCUCUGUUCUAGCACCGGACAUCAUCAGACUGGACAUCAUCAUUUGGGAAGAGUAAUGGAGGAAGAUUAUACUAUGGUCAGUCACCACAGAGGGAGAAAUAUCUCUCUCAGUACUGGAACUCAGGCUCACCCAAUGAAACUGACCAGCAGUGGGCUAAUUCAGGACCAAGGAAAUACAUCACACAAUGCGUAAUUGGUUUAUGGGGUUCACUGCCACAAGAUGUGGUGCUGGUGGUGGCCAUUAGUUCUGGUGACUUUAAAAAAGGACUGGAGAAAUUCAUGGAGCAGAAUAGGUCUGUCAGCAUCCCAGACAGACCCUCUGUUUGUGACCC